UACGUAGGGUGCAAGCGUUGUCCGGAAUUAUUGGGCGUAAAGGGCUCGUAGGCGGUGGCGUAAGUCGGGUGUGAAAUCCCUCGGCCCAACCGAGGAACUGCGCCCGAUACUGCGUUGCUUGAGGACCAAAGGGGUGCAUGGAAUUUCCGGUGGAGCGGUGAAAUGCGUUGAUAUCGGAAGGAACGUCGGCGGCGAAAGCGGUGCACUGGUUGGUCUCUGACGCUGAGGUGCGAAAGCCAGGGGAG
rnacentral:rRNA from 1 species